UCUUCGUGUGUUUUAGUAGCUGCUAAUCAUCCCUUAUCAACUCUUUCUUAUGAAUCAUCUUAGAAAGCCAGUAAAAUCAUCUACAGAAGCACAAAAAAAUCUAAGACCAAAGUGUUGGUGUAUUUUAUCAUUGGUCGUCUUUGGAUUACUGUUAAGAAUGAGUUUCAUAUGCUUAUUUUGUAUUUUGCUUGGUUUAGGAGGUAGACUUGUACAGAAAAACCAAUUGCAUGACUCUGACAUGAAUCUUUCCUAUUAACUUUUAGCUAACUAUGGCUCCAAACUCUUACCUGGUAAUAGAUGAAGUUGGUCUUGUGGGUUUGGAAGCAGCAUUGUGUUUUCCUUUUUUCUCAUUUUUUAGUUGACUUAAUUCUAGUAGAAUAUUCUGCUUUAAUAAUUAAUGCCCUGUAACCUCAUUUUACAAUUUUAAGAGACAAGUAAUUCAGUAUCAAAUUGAUUCAUCAAAAGUUAUAAAGAUUGUCAUGUUACUUUAGCAUUUUGCAUGACAUGUUGUAUAUUUUUUAUGGUUAUAUUUGCUUGUUAGUUCAAUUGUAAAAUCGUUUUCUUCCAACAACGUCAUGUGACAUGUCCAGCUUAGAGCUAACGGGAUAAUUAUGAUAACAUGGAAAGUAGGAACAGUUAUACAAUUUUGAGCAAUUUUGUACCACUGGCAGUUGAAAUUGAUUUGUCAUGAUGCUUUUGAUUUUAUGGCUAACACACAUGUCAUAGUUGUUUUAAUUGAAUAUUUCACACUUGGUUUUAAUGUGCAUAACUUUAGAGAUUUUUCUAUGGUUUUUAAUUUGAAAAUAUUGUAGCUAUUUUUUUGUUUUGGCUUGGCAUAAAAUCUUCAAUUUGGUUAUUUGUUAGUACUAUAAUAUACAACCACAAGAUGGAGGAAUAUCCCAAGAUUGACCAACUCAAGAAAGUGAAGAUGGCAAUCAAUCAGUCAUGGAAUUCAAGCAUGGUGGACGCGUGUGAUUGUAUAGGCGGGGGUUACGAAAACAGUUUUGAAAGGAAAAGUUGGAGGUUCUGGGCCUCUAUAAAUGUUACUGAGGAGAAGAUGAAUAAAAAAAUGGAGAAAAUUAAAGACAUGAUGCAUCAAAGAAUUCAAUAAAAUUUACAAGUAAAACUAGAGAAACAAAAGGGGAAUUUGUGACAAGAAAUUACGAACGUGGUUGAAAUGCUAGCUAUAUUUGUUGCUCGUUCAUUGAGAGAAGAUCGAUAGCUCUGCACCACAAACUGCUAUUCAACAAAUAUAUCAUUCUUCAUCUAUCUAUUACUAGUAACAAACAAGGUCAGUAUUUAUUUUAGAUGCUACACCAACUCUAUUCUUCCUUCUCUUCCUCUUAUAACUUUCUAUCUACUAUAAACACCCAUAUACGUACAUACUUAAUAUCUCUUUCGUAAGGAGGAUUACUGGAGAAAGCUAUAUUUGUACAGAAACACCAGAACUUUAAUCUAAGAUACAAAAAAAAAAGGGAGGGUGGGGGGAAGGAGAUUAAAAGGGGAAAAAAACACAUGAUGUAGAAAGUUAAAAUUCCCAGUACUUGUAAUAAUAACUAUGGUAAUUAUUUGACUCUACACAGCAAGUUACUAUAUUUGAUUUCUUUGCUAAAUUAAGAUAUUUUCAUUCUUACAUUUGAUUGGUCUAUUCUCAUGUACAAUUCAUGUGAAGCAAUUACUACUCAUCUAUUCCUAGAUAACUGCCAAGUUUCAAAUUUUUCCUUCUCUGUUAAUGAUUUUGAUUAGAUCAGAAGUUGAAAGAAAUUAUGUGAAAUAAAGUACUUAUUAUAAGUACCUCUAAGUACAGAUCUUUGUUUCUAAACUCGUCUGAUUCCCGUAUGUUACUGUGAUGAUUUCUGAAAUUAAUUCAAUUCAAAGAAUCUUUUGUUUCUUUUGAACGAAAAGGUAGUAAAGGAUUGGGAUAUUAGCGACUGGACAAGGUGCAACAACAACAACAACGACGACCCAGUAUAAUCCCACAAGUGGGGUCUGGGGAGGGUAAUAUGUAUGCAGACCUUACCCCUACCCCGAAGGGUAGAGAGGCUGUUUCCAGGAGACCCUCGGCUCAAAAAAAGCAACAGGAGACGAUAUAUUAGUACCAUAAAAAUGCAUAAUAAAAUAACAGCAAUAUAAGAGAUAUGAAAUACAGAAUACGAAAUACGAAAUAGAUGACUGGACAAGGUGCAAUGGGUUUAAUUACCUAGCAACCCUCUAUACUUGCAUAUACUUCUAGCAAAACCAAUUCUUCUUCUGUAAGGAGAAAAAAAGAGAGAACAUAAUUUGGUUAUGGAAAAGAUUUCUUAAACUUGACAUGGAAAAUUUGUGUAGUUAUUAAGUAUAUAUGUACCUUCUUAGUGAAAUUUGUGAAAGUUGAUGUACCCAGUACUUGAUGGCAGCCAAAUCAUUUAUAUACUUAUGCUUUUAUCACUAAUCUAUAUGAAGUAACAAAAGUUGAGUAUUGAUGAGCUGAUAAAUCAUGUAGCAUUGCCAAAAAGAUUAACAUGACUUUAAUGUUAUCCCAUACUCUUAUUUGUCAUCUUUUGUAGGUGAAGUAAAUGAUAAAGCUUCAGAAAAAAGCAGUGAAGACCUUGCUUAAGAAGAUUUCAAUUGUUGCUGAAGUUUUAGAUAUUUUAGGAAUCUUUUAUUUUCAUUCAUUUUGAAACUUAUGCUAACUCUUGAAUUCUAUUUUGCUCUAAUGGAUAUUAUCAAUUGGA
rnacentral:lncRNA from 1 species